rnacentral:rRNA from 1 species
GACGAACGCUGGCGGCGUGCCUCAGACAUGCAAGUCGAACGAUUAAGACUCUCUUCGGAGAGUGUAUAAAGUGGCGCACGGGUGAGUAACACGUAGGUAAUGUGCCUUUGGGUGGGGAAUAACUUAGGGAAACUUAAGCUAAUACCGCAUAAUGCAGCGGCUCGACAUCGAGACAGUUGUUAAAGAUUUAUCGCCUAAAGAGCAGCCUGCGGCAGAUUAGCUAGUUGGUAAGGUAAUGGCUUACCAAGGCGACGAUCUGUAUCCGACCUGAGAGGGUGGUCGGACACACUGACACUGAAUAACGGGUCAGACUCCUACGGGAGGCAGCAGUCGGGAAUUUUGGGCAAUGGGCGAAAGCCUGACCCAGCAACGCCGCGUGAAGGAUGAAGUAUUUCGGUAUGUAAACUUCGUAAGAAUAGGAAGAAUAAAUGACGGUACUAUUUGUAAGGUCCGGCUAACUACGUGCCAGCAGCCGCCGUAAGAC